GGGUUGUGAGGUUAAGCGACUAAGCGUACACGGUGGAUGCCCUGGCAGUCAGAGGCGAUGAAGGACGUGCUAAUCUGCGAUAAGCGUCGGUAAGGUGAUAUGAACCGUUAUAACCGGCGAUUUCCGAAUGGGGAAACCCAGUGUGUUUCGACACACUAUCAUUAACUGAAUCCAUAGGUUAAUGAGGCGAACCGGGGGAACUGAAACAUCUAAGUACCCCGAGGAAAAGAAAUCAACCGAGAUUCCCCCAGUAGCGGCGAGCGAACGGGGAGCAGCCCAGAGCCUGAAUCAGUGUGUGUGUUAGUGGAAGCGUCUGGAAAGGCGCGCGAUACAGGGUGACAGCCCCGUACACAAAAAUGCACAUGCUGUGAGCUCGAUGAGUAGGGCGGGACACGUGGUAUCCUGUCUGAAUAUGGGGGACCAUCCUCCAAGGCUAAAUACUCCUGACUGACCGAUAGUGAACCAGUACCGUGAGGGAAAGGCGAAAAGAACCCCGGCGAGGGGAGUGAAAAAGAACCUGAAACCGUGUACGUACAAGCAGUGGGAGCACGCUUAGGCGUGUGACUGCGUACCUUUUGUAUAAUGGGUCAGCGACUUAUAUUCUGUAGCAAGGUUAACCGAAUAGGGGAGCCGAAGGGAAACCGAGUCUUAACUGGGCGUUAAGUUGCAGGGUAUAGACCCGAAACCCGGUGAUCUAGCCAUGGGCAGGUUGAAGGUUGGGUAACACUAACUGGAGGACCGAACCGACUAAUGUUGAAAAAUUAGCGGAUGACUUGUGGCUGGGGGUGAAAGGCCAAUCAAACCGGGAGAUAGCUGGUUCUCCCCGAAAGCUAUUUAGGUAGCGCCUCGUGAAUUCAUCUCCGGGGGUAGAGCACUGUUUCGGCAAGGGGGUCAUCCCGACUUACCAACCCGAUGCAAACUGCGAAUACCGGAGAAUGUUAUCACGGGAGACACACGGCGGGUGCUAACGUCCGUCGUGAAGAGGGAAACAACCCAGACCGCCAGCUAAGGUCCCAAAGUCAUGGUUAAGUGGGAAACGAUGUGGGAAGGCCCAGACAGCCAGGAUGUUGGCUUAGAAGCAGCCAUCAUUUAAAGAAAGCGUAAUAGCUCACUGGUCGAGUCGGCCUGCGCGGAAGAUGUAACGGGGCUAAACCAUGCACCGAAGCUGCGGCAGCGACGCUUAUGCGUUGUUGGGUAGGGGAGCGUUCUGUAAGCCUGUGAAGGUGUGCUGUGAGGCAUGCUGGAGGUAUCAGAAGUGCGAAUGCUGACAUAAGUAACGAUAAAGCGGGUGAAAAGCCCGCUCGCCGGAAGACCAAGGGUUCCUGUCCAACGUUAAUCGGGGCAGGGUGAGUCGACCCCUAAGGCGAGGCCGAAAGGCGUAGUCGAUGGGAAACAGGUUAAUAUUCCUGUACUUGGUGUUACUGCGAAGGGGGGACGGAGAAGGCUAUGUUGGCCGGGCGACGGUUGUCCCGGUUUAAGCGUGUAGGCUGGUUUUCCAGGCAAAUCCGGAAAAUCAAGGCUGAGGCGUGAUGACGAGGCACUACGGUGCUGAAGCAACAAAUGCCCUGCUUCCAGGAAAAGCCUCUAAGCAUCAGGUAACAUCAAAUCGUACCCCAAACCGACACAGGUGGUCAGGUAGAGAAUACCAAGGCGCUUGAGAGAACUCGGGUGAAGGAACUAGGCAAAAUGGUGCCGUAACUUCGGGAGAAGGCACGCUGAUAUGUAGGUGAAGUCCCUCGCGGAUGGAGCUGAAAUCAGUCGAAGAUACCAGCUGGCUGCAACUGUUUAUUAAAAACACAGCACUGUGCAAACACGAAAGUGGACGUAUACGGUGUGACGCCUGCCCGGUGCCGGAAGGUUAAUUGAUGGGGUUAGCCGCAAGGCGAAGCUCUUGAUCGAAGCCCCGGUAAACGGCGGCCGUAACUAUAACGGUCCUAAGGUAGCGAAAUUCCUUGUCGGGUAAGUUCCGACCUGCACGAAUGGCGUAAUGAUGGCCAGGCUGUCUCCACCCGAGACUCAGUGAAAUUGAACUCGCUGUGAAGAUGCAGUGUACCCGCGGCAAGACGGAAAGACCCCGUGAACCUUUACUAUAGCUUGACACUGAACAUUGAGCCUUGAUGUGUAGGAUAGGUGGGAGGCUUAGAAGUGUGGACGCCAGUCUGCAUGGAGCCGACCUUGAAAUACCACCCUUUAAUGUUUGAUGUUCUAACGUUGACCCGUAAUCCGGGUUGCGGACAGUGUCUGGUGGGUAGUUUGACUGGGGCGGUCUCCUCCUAAAGAGUAACGGAGGAGCACGAAGGUUGGCUAAUCCUGGUCGGACAUCAGGAGGUUAGUGCAAUGGCAUAAGCCAGCUUGACUGCGAGCGUGACGGCGCGAGCAGGUGCGAAAGCAGGUCAUAGUGAUCCGGUGGUUCUGAAUGGAAGGGCCAUCGCUCAACGGAUAAAAGGUACUCCGGGGAUAACAGGCUGAUACCGCCCAAGAGUUCAUAUCGACGGCGGUGUUUGGCACCUCGAUGUCGGCUCAUCACAUCCUGGGGCUGAAGUAGGUCCCAAGGGUAUGGCUGUUCGCCAUUUAAAGUGGUACGCGAGCUGGGUUUAGAACGUCGUGAGACAGUUCGGUCCCUAUCUGCCGUGGGCGCUGGAGAACUGAGGGGGGCUGCUCCUAGUACGAGAGGACCGGAGUGGACGCAUCACUGGUGUUCGGGUUGUCAUGCCAAUGGCACUGCCCGGUAGCUAAAUGCGGAAGAGAUAAGUGCUGAAAGCAUCUAAGCACGAAACUUGCCCCGAGAUGAGUUCUCCCUGACUCCUUGAGAGUCCUGAAGGAACGUUGAAGACGACGACGUUGAUAGGCCGGGUGUGUAAGCGCAGCGAUGCGUUGAGCUAACCGGUACUAAUGAACCGUGAGGCUUAACCUUACAACGCCGAAGGUGUUU
rnacentral:rRNA from 1 species